UGAGAUGUUGGGUUAAUUCCCGCAACGAGCGCAACCCUUGUUCACUGUUGCCAGCACGUUAUGGUGGGGACUCAGUGGAGACCGCCGGGGUCAACUCGGAGGAAGGUGGGGAUGACGUCAAGUCAUCAUGCCCCUUAUGUCCAGGGCUUCACGCAUGCUACAAUGGCUGGUACAGAGAGUGGCGAGCCUGUGAGGGUGAGCGAAUCUCGGAAAGCCGGUCUCAGUUCGGAUUGGGGUCUGCAACUCGACCUCAUGAAGUUGGAGUCGCUAGUAAUCGCAGAUCAGCAACGCUGCGGUGAAUACGUUCCCGGGGCUUGUACACACCGCCCGUCAAGUCAUGAAAGUUGGUAACACCCGAAGCCGGUGGCCUAACCGUUGUGGGGGAGCCGUCGAAGGUGGGACUGGUGAUUAGGACUAAGUCGUAACAAGGUAGCCGUACCGGAAGGUGCGGCUGGA
rnacentral:rRNA from 1 species